rnacentral:rRNA from 1 species
CUGAAUCAGCUUGUGUGUUAGUGGAACGGUCUGGAAAGUCCGACGGUACAGGGUGAUAGUCCCGUACACCAAAAUGCACAGGUUGUGAACUCGAAGAGUAGGGCGGGACACGUGGUAUCCUGUCUGAAUAUGGGGGGACCAUCCUCCAAGGCUAAAUACUCCUGACUGACCGAUAGUGAACCAGUACCGUGAGGGAAAGGCGAAAAGAACCCCGGCGAGGGGAGUGAAAAAGAACCUGAAACCGUGUACGUACAAGCAGUGGGAGCACCUUCGGGUGUGACUGCGUACCUUUUGUAUAAUGGGUCAGCGACUUAUAUUCUGUAGCAAGGUUAACCGUAUAGGGGAGCCGCAGGGAAACCGAGUCUUAACUGGGCGUUAAGUUGCAGGGUAUAGACCCGAAACCCGGUGAUCUAGCCAUGGGCAGGUUGAAGGUUGGGUAACACUAA